rnacentral:rRNA from 1 species
UACGUAGGCAGCGAGCGUUGUUCGGAGUUACUGGGCGUAAAGGGUGCGUAGGCGGUUGUUUAAGUUUGGUGUGAAAUCUCCCGGCUCAACUGGGAGGGUGCGCCGAAUACUGAAUGACUAGAGUGCGGGAGAGGAGAGUGGAAUUCCUGGUGUAGCGGUGAAAUGCGUAGAUAUCGGGAGGAACACCAGUGGCGCAAGCGGCUAACUGGCCGAGACCUGACGCUGAGACGCGACGGCGUGGGGAGCAAACCGG